CUUAUCACACAUUGGGCACUUCCAUGCUUUUCACAUCCCAGGGCAUGUUAUUCUUUAUUCUUUAUUUACAGAAGACACAACUGUUGCAUCUUUGGGUUUGUCUUUGUUUCUUGUGGUACAGCUGCAUGUGACAUGGCGUGGCUGCAUAGAAAUUGUUCAAUCUCUGGAUUUUGUUUGUGGCACAGUGUGAAGCUUCCCCCAAAUGGUCACUGGUUUUGCUCUUCACGUAGCCCAGGGUGAGUUUAGAGGAAAUAAAUGUAACAUGAGCUAGUCAUCCCUAAAUAAUCUUUAAGCACGGAGUCUACAUUAACAGGAGGCUGCUAAUAAGCUCUGCACUGCUAUCUCUGGGAAAGCUUUUCUCCUGACUUGGAAGAAAAUUAUGAGCUAUAGUGUAUUUUUUUAUUUGCUCUUUCUCAGCAGAAGAAUUUGCUGUCUGAUUGCUCAAGAAUCAAUUAUUCGUUUAAAAUUGCAUAGAACUCUCUUAGGCUCAUACAUAUAGAAGCAAAUAUAAUCUGAAACACGACAAAAAUUAAUAAGAUAGCAGCUCUGGCAUCACAGCCGUGAUAGGUAUAUUUUUGUGCGUGUACUACAGAUUUAUUCUUUUGCUAGAAAAAGAGGAAUGGAAGCAAAGAAUGGGGUUAAAAAGCAGCAGUAGAUUUGCUCUAACCCUGUAAUUUUUUAAUUCCUGCAGGCGUCUGCUGUCAGACCAUCUGCAGCUGUUGUUGGUCAACCAGUGAUCUGACCUCUGAGAGGCAGAAAGCCGUGCUAUUCCCUAGCUGAUCAUUCAAGGCUUUUUAUUCUAGCAUUUAAAUUGGAUUUUAUUCAAUUUUGUUUAAAUCCAUUGUAUCAACACUUAAUGAACACAAGCCCUCCCACUCUGCUCUGUGGCUCUGUGGUUUCCCAUUGUGUACCAGCAUCUCAUUCUUUUUUAUGCCCUAUACAUAUUCAUUUCCUUUAAUCCUUCAUUCUAUUUCUCUUUCCCAUUCUAUUUCUCUUCCUGAUUAUUAUUAAAUGCCUGAAUGGUUCUUAAAUGUCAAGAAAGUCCUGAGAAAUGUCACACACUGGAGGAAAGUGUGAUAUUUUAUGUGUAAGAAGCCCUGAGCGUGGCAAUAUCUGCUUUUUAGGCUGAGGGGCAGUUCUGGCCACCUCUCAGAACAAACUGAUCUCUUGAGAUAAACAGAUUUAUGUUGCUGAUGGUGUUUUGAUUUUGAACUUCGAUACUGAAAUUGGAGGUUCAGAAAUGAAUCCUCUCUUCUCUCUGGCUCAUCUCUGCCCUCACAGGAGAAUAGGUCACUUGGAACCAUCAGCUGCUUUCAUUAAUUAUUAAUGCUAACACAUGGCAAAAGCAAUUUGGAGAUCAGUGAGUACAUGUGGGUCUGUCCAUGGAAGCUUAAGGAGGGGGUGGGGAGUGGGACAUGGCUCUCCAUCUGAAAAUAAAUGAGUGGCAAGCUGUGAAGGGAGGGAAGUCAGCAGAAGGUUGAGGUGUAACUAACAGUUCCUGAGAGAGCAGUGUGCUGAAUACCCCUGCUCCAGUUGGUGAUGUGCUGCCAAGGGCUGUUGGCUGGGUUCAGCAUCCAGGAGAGCUUCCCUCCCGUAGGAGCACAGCCACCUGUAAUACAGCUCCAGGUGCUGUAGGGGAUCCUUUGGUUCUUCACACUGGCUCUCCCCCACCACGGCGUCCCAUCAAGCCUGGCCCCAAGGGAGAAAGUGCUUGGGCAUGGUGUGAGUCCUAGACCUGAGGCCGUGUAGGAAAAUGAGAGAUGUGCUAUGGCUGCAGCAAAGGUAUGUUCUAGCAGGGCUUCCCUCAGAGCAAGGAGAGCCACAAGGUUACACGCACUGCAAUACAGCACCACUGCCCUCCACUCUGCACCCAACCUGGUGCUGCCAUCAGGUAAGAGAGUCCAAGCCAUCAGCAAAACUCCUCUCUUCCAUUUUAUACCUUGCCAGCUUUUACACACAUCAUUUCCAGCCACUGGGAGAAGCCAGCUCUAACCUCUGGCAAACACACUGCACAGCAAUGGAAACUGCAUUUCAGCUGAUCUGCAAAUUCUUCCUACCCGUUCUGCAUCCCACUGGGGAAGUCACAGGGCUGUGUUUCUGAUGUGGGGUGAUGGGAAGCUGCUUAAAGAAGUUACUUCUGUUACUUAUAAAGUCACCACCUUCUCUGAACCAGGAGUAGGAGUUCAUGUACGUCCAUAUCCACUUGGUAUGGUCAUUACAAUAAACCAGAAGAGGAGAACUGUCAAAAAGUACAAUUCUGUUUGCCUUCCCAGCAGUACCUCAUAUGAAUUUGAUUUUCUGAUUGUAAAAAAAAAAACCAACUAUUAAAUCAUUUUCUGUUUGAGUCACCAUACUAACAUAAGAAACCCAGUGCACAUACAUGGAUAGACCAUUAUAUAUGGUCUAUUUGCCCUUAGUGCAAAGACAGUAACUCUGUAAGUAGGUCCUUCAUCAUGGCAGAGCAGCAUCAGUGCAGUGAGAAGCCCAGGAGGAAAGAGAAACAGGCAAGAAAGAUCUGACCAUGAGCUCCAGAGCAGGAAUUCAGCAAACUUCUUGACAUCACUGAAGUCGGGCAAAUUCCUCACCAAAAAUAAUAAUGAAUAAAAUGCCAUGAAUAUUUGCUCACAGAAAUGGAACUGUUUUGCUUUGAAUAUGAUUUAUGCAAAAAAUAGAGCACGUGA